ensembl:lncRNA
UAUAUGCUGAUAUUGUGCACCCCUUCCUUCACCCAUUUCCAGGAACUGAAGACAAUAUGGAACCUUGUUUUCUGACCAUGAGAAUAGCAGUCGCUAACCCAGUGGGCUGCAUGUCAACAUGCCAUGCGGUGUGGGUGGGGGAAGACUCCCAGAGGUCUGCCAGCUUUGUGGCCAGCCUACAAUGGGAGCCACUAUGAUGUGCAGGAACCCAGAAACCUGAAAUGCUCCCAACUGGCUGGAAAUCUCAGCUUCCUGUGGUGCUCUGACACUCUCCUGUAUAGAAUUUCAACAUCUUCUGAGAUUUGAAGACACUUGAUGGAAAAUGUUGUAGAGAGUUCACACCAUCCAUAGUCAUUGUACUGGGAGAGAGAAGGAAGCAAAUGGGCAGGUAUGUGUUUGAGUGUAUGUAUGUGCACCUGGGGUGUGCAGGAGCCUGCAGAGGUCAGAAGAGGGUGUCAGAUACCCUGGAACUGCAGUUACAUACCUGGUCAUGGGACACCAUGAAGGUCCUGCGAAUUGAAUUUGGUUCCUCUGGAAGAGCAGCCAACACUCUAAAUGCUGAGCCUUUGCUCCAUUGCUGCUGCACAUAUUUUCUUCAUCAACAUCUGUCAGGAACAUUGAUUACGGGCUUCCGCAUGGUUUCCAGUGACAGCACAGACCACAAACAUGCCAUCCAGCUACAGAAGAAACAAAGACCCAGACAAGGCCCUCAGAGGCAGCCUGGACCACUAGCAUCAACAUGGCCUCAGGUGACAGUGUAGCGCACUCACCUCAAUAUGAUCCCUGGUAGCAACACUGCUCAUAGAUAACAUGGCCCCAGGAUGCAGCAUAGAGAAAUCUGAGACCUGGGACCCAGACAUGGCCCUUGGCAGCAGCAUGAUCUGGACAUCACCAUGGCCCCAGGUGUCAGUGCAGACCACCGAUACCAAAAUGGCCCCUGGUGGUAGCAUGGCCAUGGACAUAAAUACAUCAUCAGGUUGUAGCACGGAGCAUGCACAUCCUUAUAGCCUUGGAUGGUAACACAGACCACAGACCAACAUGGCCUUGGUCAUAUCAGGACUCACUCAUGGCACUUAGCAGUAGUACAAACCUUAUGCCUCAACAUGGCCUUAGGUGGCUACACAAGCCAUUCACAUCAACACUUCUCUCUUCAAAUGGGCUUCAAUUAGCAGCAGACUGCAUAUGUUCACAUGGAUUAUCUUUAUAGAUCUGGGGGAGAAGUUUUAUUUUGUUCAUUUAUUUGUUUUUUUUUGUGUGUGUUUGUUUUUUUGUUUUUGUUUUUGUUUUUCAAGACAGAGUUUCUCAGUCCUAGCUGUCUUUGUAUUCACUUUGUAGACAAGGCUAACCUUUAGGGACCCUGUUAAUCAUCUGAUGUAUUUGAAACCAUAUUAUGAUGGUUAGUUUUAAUUUUCAAGUGUACACAGCCUAGAAUUACCUAGGAAAAUUGUCUAAAUGAGGAGUUUAAUUUGGGUUGGCCUAUGGGCAUGUGUGUAGAAUAUUGUCUUAAUUAAGAUAAUUUUAUGAGAAGGCCCAAUGCAGUAUGGGGGGCUCCAUUGCCUAAACAAGGGUCUUGGUCUGUAUAAGAGUAGAAAAAUCCAAGUCAGCAAACUUGUACACCAAUACUUCUGCAGCUUUUGACUGUGAAUGUGAUGAGACCAGCUCUUUGAAGUUCCUUCCUUGAUUUCCCCAUGAUGAUAGACUGUAAUCUGAAAACAUAAGCUAAAUAAACCCUUUUCUCCAUAUUCCGAUUUUUAUCUGGCUAUUGUACCACAAAAGGAACAAAACUGGACUAUACGUUGAGUUGAAUUUUUUUUGUUAGUUUUUCUUUAUGAAUUCCCUGCAACUCACAUAUUCAUGAUAGAGUAGUUCUGACAAUGAUGACAAC